rnacentral:rRNA from 1 species
GGGUUGUGAGGUUAAGCGACUAAGCGUACACGGUGGAUGCCCUGGCAGUCAGAGGCGAUGAAGGACGUGCUAAUCUGCGAUAAGCGUCGGUAAGGUGAUAUGAACCGUUAUAACCGGCGAUUUCCGAAUGGGGAAACCCAGUGUGUUUCGACACACUAUCAUUAACUGAAUCCAUAGGUUAAUGAGGCGAACCGGGGGAACUGAAACAUCUAAGUACCCCGAGGAAAAGAAAUCAACCGAGAUUCCCCCAGUAGCGGCGAGCGAACGGGGAGCAGCCCAGAGCCUGAAUCAGUAUGUGUGUUAGUGGAAGCGUCUGGAAAGGCGCGCGAUACAGGGUGACAGCCCCGUACACAAAAAUGCACAUGCUGUGAGCUCGAUGAGUAGGGCGGGACACGUGGUAUCCUGUCUGAAUAUGGGGGGACCAUCCUCCAAGGCUAAAUACUCCUGACUGACCGAUAGUGAACCAGUACCGUGAGGGAAAGGCGAAAAGAACCCCGGCGAGGGGAGUGAAAAAGAACCUGAAACCGUGUACGUACAAGCAGUGGGAGCACGCUUAGGCGUGUGACUGCGUACCUUUUGUAUAAUGGGUCAGCGACUUAUAUUCUGUAGCAAGGUUAACCGAAUAGGGGAGCCGAAGGGAAACCGAGUCUUAACUGGGCGUUAAGUUGCAGGGUAUAGACCCGAAACCCGGUGAUCUAGCCAUGGGCAGGUUGAAGGUUGGGUAACACUAACUGGAGGACCGAACCGACUAAUGUUGAAAAAUUAGCGGAUGACUUGUGGCUGGGGGUGAAAGGCCAAUCAAACCGGGAGAUAGCUGGUUCUCCCCGAAAGCUAUUUAGGUAGCGCCUCGUGAAUUCAUCUCCGGGGGUAGAGCACUGUUUCGGCAAGGGGGUCAUCCCGACUUACCAACCCGAUGCAAACUGCGAAUACCGGAGAAUGUUAUCACGGGAGACACACGGCGGGUGCUAACGUCCGUCGUGAAGAGGGAAACAACCCAGACCGCCAGCUAAGGUCCCAAAGUCAUGGUUAAGUGGGAAACGAUGUGGGAAGGCCCAGACAGCCAGGAUGUUGGCUUAGAAGCAGCCAUCAUUUAAAGAAAGCGUAAUAGCUCACUGGUCGAGUCGGCCUGCGCGGAAGAUG